rnacentral:rRNA from 1 species
UACGAAGGGGGCUAGCGUUGUUCGGAAUUACUGGGCGUAAAGCGCACGUAGGCGGGUAUUUAAGUCAGGAGUGAAAUCCCAGAGCUCAACUCUGGAACUGCCUUUGAUACUGGGUACCUAGAGUAUGGAAGAGGUGAGUGGAAUUCCGAGUGUAGAGGUGAAAUUCGUAGAUAUUCGCAAGAACACCAGUGGCGAAGGCGGCUCACUGGCCCGAUACUGACGCUGAGGCACGAAAGCGUGGGGAGCAAACAGG